AAGCGACCAAGGGCAGGCGGCGGCGCGGCGGUGACGUCCCAGGGGCUGUGAGGGGGCCUCGGUCCGGGCAGAGGAGCCGCGGGAACCGGGAGCGCUUUUGGGGUCGAGACUUGGGCCGGGGGGUUCCCGGGGGCCACGCGGUGUCUUUGGUGGCCUUUAGGAGGGUCAAAGGAAAGAGUCUCCGGUUGUGGGUGAAAAAUCUCCGUUGAGGGACACCCCGUGGAAGAGGCUGGCGCUGUGCUCGUGCCGGGUGCUGGAAUUGCCUGUCUGGACGUGUGCUGAGCUCUCGCUGCUGUGGACUGUGCAGCCUCAGUUGCUGCAGGUUCCUGUUCUUCUCACCAGCUCAAAGUACACGUGGGGUUUUUUUGCCCUUCUAUAUAGAGCUGUUGAGUUUGGGUGAUUUUCCUGAAUUGAGGAUAUUGAAGGUCGAGAAGGAAGAUUUGUCUCUUUUUGUGCUUUUCUGUUGUUUUUAGCACCUGCUCAGCAUCUGAACGUGGUUGGAAUACUGGAAACAUAAAAG